rnacentral:tRNA from 1 species
GGAAGGGUAGCCGAGUGGUCAAAGGCAGCAGACUGUAAAUCUGCCGACAUUGAGUCUACGUAAGUUCGAAUCUUACCCCUUCCACCA